ACCCCGAUCCAGAUCUCGAUCGCCAUGACCACCGCCAACGGUGGCGCCGCCUCCCCCGACACCCCCGCUGCCACCGCCGCCGACUCCCCUCCUCCCCCUCGCCCCUUCAAGAUCUUCAUCGGCUACGAUCCCCGCGAGCACUCCGCCUUCGAGGUCUGCCGCCGUACCCUUCUCAAACACUCCUCCGUCCCCCUCGACAUCUCCCCCAUCCGCCAGUCCGAUCUCCGCGCCGCCGGCCUCUACUGGCGCGACCGCGGCCCCACCGAGUCCACCGACUUCUCCUUCACCCGCUUCCUCACCCCCUACCUCGCCGGCUUCUCCGGAUGGGCAAUGUUCGUUGACUGCGACUUCCUCUACACCGCCGACAUCGCCUCCCUCAUCGCUCUAACCGACUCGAGCUAUGCGGUUAUGUGCGUGCAGCACGACUACGCACCGAAAGAAACCACCAAAAUGGACGGGGCGGUGCAA
rnacentral:misc_RNA from 1 species